ACCCCACGUCUCAUCGGCUAAUAUACACUUGGGGCCAUGGUUAAUGGACACAGCAGAGAUGACGACGGAGUAACCAGACCCCAUAACACCCACAGCAGCAAAGAGUAUGGAACUGAGCAUCUGCAGAGUGAAUAAACAACUUUCAUUGCCACAGCAACCACAGCAGUCAUUGUUCUUCAGACCCAGGAAGACCAGAGCUGGGAAGAUCAUCUGUUAACACAUAACCACACCCAUAACGUGCAGGAAGCAGGGACUUAUGUCAGUCAAUAGUGGAAAGAAAAUGGACCAUAACUUGAGUUUCUCCUCUCGUCGGUCUCCUGUGGUGUGUUUACACGGCAGUGUAGCGUCAAGUCAACCGCUAGCCACAGACAUAGGAUUGGAUAUUUUGAAGCGUGGUGGUAAUGCAGCAGAUGCAGCUGUGGCCAUCGCAGCUGCACUGGCAGUCACCGAGCCGUUCAGCACUGGUCCAGGUGGAGAUGCCUUCUGCUUGUUCUACAACGCUAACAAUGGAGAAAUUACGGGAAUUAAUGGCAGUGGACAUUCUCCUCAAGCUCUGACUCUGGACUUACUGAAAAGCCGUGGUUAUUGUGAAGAAACCCCCCCUUCUUCUUUCGAUGUGCUGAAUGUCACAGUACCCGGGGCACCUGCAUGUUGGUGGGACACCGUACAACAAUUUGGUAGUGACAAGCUGUCCUUUCAGGAGGUGCUAAGCGGGGCAGUGGAACUCGCAGAGGUGGGGUUUCCUGUUGCUGAGGUAACAGCUGUGGAAUGGGCGAAGGGUGUGGCUGCCCUGAGAGAGGACGGGAAGGAACUUGGAGGUGACUUACUGGUUCACAACCAGGCACCAAAAUGUGGACAAGUGUUUAGAAACCAAGCCCUGGCUCGGACUCUGAAGGAACUGGGUGAAGGAGGAAAGCCUGCUUUUUAUGAGGGUCGAGUAGCCCAGGCCAUCGUCGAUGUCACGAGCCAACAUGGAGGUGUCAUGACCUUGAAUGAUCUCUGUAGUCAUGAAAGUGAGAUCAUCCGUCCCAUUAGCACAGACUACAAAGGUGUGUCUCUGUGGGAGCCCCCACCUAACAGUCAGGGACUGGCCACCCUGCUGAUGCUUGACAUCCUGGAGAACUUCCCUCUCAAAGUAAUGAGCCACAACAGCUCUGACUAUGUUCACACUCUGGUGGAGGCUGUACGUCUGGCAUUAACAGAUGCUAUGUGUCACCUGGCCGAUCCUGACCAUAUGACCCUCCCUGUGGAGACUUUGCUGGACAAAGGUUACAGUCGCCAGCGAGGGCAGCACAUCCAGAUGGAAAGGAAAAUUGAGGGAUUGAAGCCUGGCAUGCUGGCUGGAAGUGACACAGUCUAUUUGUGCGUGAUUGACAGCCAGGGAAAUGCCUGUUCAUUCGUCAACAGCCUCUAUAUGAGCUUCGGGACUGGUCUGGUGCCCAAGGACUGUGGCUUCUCACUGCAGAAUCGAGGAGCAAACUUCUCUUUGCACCCUAAUCAUGUCAACUGUGUUGGUGGGAGAAAACGGUCCUACCACACCAUAAUGGCUGCACUCCUCACUACUCCGCCAGCCCAAGCUCUGAAGCCCCAACUUCUCGCUGCUCUGGGAGUCAUGGGAGGUUUUAUGCAAACACAAGGGCACGUACAGGUGGUGCUGAACAUGGUGGAGUUUGGGAUGAAUCCACAGCAAGCUCUGGAUGCACCAAGAGUCUUUGUGGCGUACAACCAAAAAACUGGUGAGUGGUGUGUUAAUCUGGAAGAGGGCAUCGGCCAGGAGGUCGCUGAGGACCUUAGGAGGCGCGGCCACAAAGUUGAGUGGCCAGUCACAGGCAAGAAGCUGGUUGCCCAGAAGGACUAGGAGAGAAAAUUAGACCAGUAGGUGGCAGCAGUGCAGCUGAAAGAAAACUAAAAAAAAAAAGGACACAACAGGGCUAAGUUUGGACGUGGGCAAAUCAUCACAGUGGGAGACUGGUGGAAUGGGUCUGACAAUCAGACUGAUGGUGCAACCAAGGUGCUUUG